UGCAGGGGAUUUUCGAUUUUUUUUUUUAUAUAUAUAUAUAUAUAUUUAUUUAUUUUUUUUUAAUUGGGGUAACCCCCAAAAUAUUGAGACAUAUAAAAAAAGACAACUCUGUUCCGCAGAGUACCUAUUGACAUUAUAGUUGCACAGGCACUUUGUUGACUCUAGAGAACCUCGGGCCAAUCACACAUCCCCGUGGCAGCCACUUUGCAUGCGGAUGUCAUCUAUAUCAUCUUUCGAUGCCAGUUUCUGGGCCUACCAUGGUGACCAGGGGUAACGGGGAAUCAGGGUUCCAUUCCAUACAGGAACCCUGAGAAACGGCUACCACAUGCAAGGAAGGUAGCA